rnacentral:miRNA from 2 species
AAAGUGCUUCCCUUUUGUGUGU